rnacentral:rRNA from 1 species
CAAUAGCGUAUAUUAAAGUUGUUGCAGUUAAAAGCUCGUAGUUGGAUUUCUGGGAGGGUGGCGAUGUCCGCUUAACGUGUGUGUAGCGGCGCCCUUCCAUCCUUCUGUUAGCGUCUCUUGGCAUUCAUUUGCUGGUGGCGGGCUCAGAUAUUUUACCUUGAAAAAUUAGAGUGUUCAAAGCAGGCUAGCGCUUGAAUACAUUAGCAUGGAAUAAUGGAAUAGGACUUUGGUGCUAUUUUGUUGGUUUAUGGGACCGAAGUAAUGAUUAACAGGGACAGUUGGGCCGUUUAUAUUUCGUUGUCAGAGGUGAAAUUCUUGGAUUUACGAAAGAUAAACUUCUGCGAAAGCAUUCGGCAAGGAUGUUUUCAUUGAUCAAGAACGAAAGUUAGGGGAUCGAAGAUGAUCAGAUACCA